rnacentral:rRNA from 1 species
GAUGAACGCUGGCGGCGUGCUUAACACAUGCAAGUCGAACGAAGCACUUUACUACGAUUUCUUCGGAAUGACGGUUUUGUGACUGAGUGGCGGACGGGUGAGUAACGCGUGGAUAACCUGCCUCAUACAGGGGGAUAACAGCCGGAAACGGCUGCUAAUACCGCAUAAGCGCACGGUACCGCAUGGUACAGUGUGAAAAACUCCGGUGGUAUGGGAUGGAUCCGCGUCUGAUUAGCCAGUUGGCGGGGUAACGGCCCACCAAAGCGACGAUCAGUAGCCGACCUGAGAGGGCGACCGGCCACAUUGGGACUGAGACACGGCCCAAACUCCUACGGGAGGCAGCAGUGGGGAAUAUUGCACAAUGGGGGAAACCCUGAUGCAGCGACGCCGCGUGAGCGAAGAAGUAUUUCGGUAUGUAAAGCUCUAUCAGCAGGGAAGAAGAAAUGACGGUACCUGACUAAGAAGCCCCGGCUAACUACGUG